rnacentral:lncRNA from 1 species
AUGCAAGAACAAAACUAACAUAAGCAGACCAAUCAUGAUGACAUGUUUGCAACUAGAUAAGGACUUUAAUCUAAUUUGUCUCCUACUAUUUUUAUCGAAUAUCAUAGCCCUCUCCUAUGAUAAACGUGAAAAUAUAAUUUUUCUUAGUAGGGUUGAGAUCCUAAUUCAUCAUAAAAGGCCUUGUGGUUACACAACAAACCUUUAUGAGUUCAAAGGUAGGAAACUCUUUCCAAUUGCAUCUCAUGCAAUUCUCAACUUUAUCUUGUCCUCUUAAAACACUUAUUGCCUUGUGUUAGCACAACAAACAAUAAUGUUUUAGUUAAGUCAAA